AUUGAACGCUGGCGGCAUGCUUUACACAUGCAAGUCGAACGGCAGCGCGGGCUUCGGCCUGGCGGCGAGUGGCGAACGGGUGAGUAAUUCAUCGGAACGUGCCCAGUAGUGGGGGAUAGCCCGGCGAAAGCCGGAUUAAUACCGCAUACGACCUGAGGUUGAAAGCGGUGGACCGAAAGGCCUCGCGCUAUUUGAUCGCCCGAUGUCGGAUUAGCUAGUUGGUGUGGUAAAGGCUUACCAAGGCGACGAUCCGUAGCUGGUCUGAGAGGACGACCAGCCACACUGGGACUGAGACACGGCCCAGACUCCUACGGGAGGCAGCAGUGGGGAAUUUUGGACAAUGGGGGAAAGCCUGAUCCAGCAAUGCCGCGUGCGGGAAGAAGGCCUUCGGGUUGUAAACCGCUUUUGUUCGGGAAGAAAUCCUCUGGGAUAAUACCCCGGGGGGAUGACGGUACCGGAAGAAUAAGCACCGGCUAACUACGUG
rnacentral:rRNA from 1 species